CUUUGGCCUGGUUCAAGUAAUCCAGGAUAGGCUUGUGAUGCUGGGAAAGCCUAUUCGGGAUGACUUGGUUCAGGAAUGAG
rfam:Astyanax mexicanus chromosome 19, whole genome shotgun sequence.